rnacentral:rRNA from 1 species
AUUGAACGCUGGCGGCAGGCUCAACACAUGCAAGUCGAGCGGGGUGAUGGUGCUUGCACUAUCACUUAGCGGCGGACGGGUGAGUAAUGCUUAGGAAUCUGCCUAUUAGUGGGGGACAACAUCUCGAAAGGGAUGCUAAUACCGCAUACGUCCUACGGGAGAAAGCAGGGGAUCACUUGUGACCUUGCGCUAAUAGAUGAGCCUAAGUCGGAUUAGCUAGUUGGUGGGGUAAAGGCCUACCAAGGCGACGAUCUGUAGCGGGUCUGAGAGGAUGAUCCGCGACACUGGGACUGAAACACGGCCAGGACUCCUACGGGAGGCAGCAGUGGGGAAUAUUGGACAAUGGGGGGAACCCUGAUCCAGCCAUGCCGCGUGUGUGAAGAAGGCCUUAUGGUUGUAAAGCACUUUAAGCGAGGAGGAGGCUCUUUUGGUUAAUACCCAGAAUGAGUGGACGUUACUCGCAGAAUAAGCACCGGCUAACUCUGUGCCAGCCGCCGCCGUAA